AUAGAUACCCUGGUAGUCCCAGCCCUAAACGAUGGAUACUAGGUGUCGGGGGUAUCGACCCCCCCGGUGCCGCCGCUAACGCAGUAAGUAUCCCGCCUGGGGAGUACGGCCGCAAGGUUGAAACUCAAAGGAAUUGACGGGGGCCCGCACAAGCGGUGGAGCAUGUUGUUUAAUACGUCACUAACCGUAGAACCUUACCAGGGUUUGACAUCCGUCGCACCAGUGUGAAAGCAUUGUUCCGAGCAAUCGGACGGCGAGACAGGUGUUGCAUGGCUGUCGCCAGCUCGUGUCGUGAGAUGUUGGGUUAAGUCCCGCAACGAGCGCAACCCCCCAUCCCAUGUUGCCAGCGAGUGAAGUCGGGAACUCUUGGGAAACUGCCGGGGUAACUCGGAGGAAGGUGGGGACGACGUCAAGGUCAGGCAUGGCCCUUACACCCCUGGGCGACACACACGCUACAAUGGUCGAGACAGCGGGUAGCGAACCGGUGACGGGGAGCCAAUCCGUCUAAACUCGAUCUCAGUUCGGAUGGCAGGCUGCAACCGCCUGCCUG
rnacentral:rRNA from 1 species